rnacentral:rRNA from 1 species
UGCUUAAACAUGCAAGUCGAACGAACCUUCGGGUUAGUGGCGGACGGGUGAGUAACGCGUGAGAAUCUGCCCUCAGGAGGGGGAUAACACGUGGAAACGGCUGCUAAUACCCCAUAUGCCGCGAGGUGAAAUGAAUUUCGCCUGAGGAUGAGCUCGCGUCUGAUUAGCUACUUGGUGUAAGUAAUGGCUCACCAAGGCAUCGAUCAGUAGCUGGUCUGAGAGGAUGAUCAGCCACACCGGGAUUGAGACACGGCCCAGACUCCUACGGGAGGCACCAGUGGGGAAUUUUCCGCAAUGGGCGAAAGCCUGACGGAGCAACGCCGCGUGAGGGAUGAAGGCCUCUGGGCUGUAAACCUCUUUUAUCAAGGAAGAACAUCUGACGGUACUGGAUGAAUAA